ensembl:snRNA U6 U6 spliceosomal RNA
GUGCUUGCUUGGGCAGCACAUACACUAAAAGUAGAACAAUACAGAGAAGAUUAGCAUGAUCCCUGUGCAAGGAUAACACACAAAUUUGUGAAGCAUUCCAUAUUUUU